rnacentral:misc_RNA from 1 species
UCCGGGUUGGUCCCGGCGGUCCGGCCAGACGUGGUAACUGGCCGCGGGGGUUGCGCUCGUUGCGGGACUUAACCCAACAUCUCACGACACGAGCUGACGACAGCCAUGCACCACCUGUGAUCCUGCCCCAAAGGGGAAGCCGUGUUUCCACGGCGGUCAGGAACAUGUCAAACCCAGGUAAGGUUCUUCGCGUUGCAUCGAAUUAAGCCACAUGCUCCGCCGCUUGUGCGGGCCCCCGUCAAUUCCUUUGAGUUUCAGCCUUGCGGCCGUACUCCCCAGGCGGGGCACUUAACGCGUUAGCUGCGGCACCGAAGGGGUCGUUCCCCCCGGCACCUAGUGCCCAUCGUUUACGGCGUGGACUAC